GAUGAACGCUGGCGGCGUGCCUAAUACAUGCAAGUCGAGCGAACAGACGAGGAGCUUGCUCCUCUGACGUUAGCGGCGGACGGGUGAGUAACACGUGGAUAACCUACCUAUAAGACUGGGAUAACUUCGGGAAACCGGAGCUAAUACCGGAUAAUAUAUUGAACCGCAUGGUUCAAUAGUGAAAGACGGUUUUGCUGUCACUUAUAGAUGGAUCCGCGCCGCAUUAGCUAGUUGGUAAGGUAACGGCUUACCAAGGCAAUGAUGCGUAGCCGACCUGAGAGGGUGAUCGGCCACACUGGAACUGAGACACGGUCCAGACUCCUACGGGAGGCAGCAGUAGGGAAUCUUCCGCAAUGGGCGAAAGCUUGACGGAGCAACGCCGCGUGAGUGAUGAAGGUCUUCGGAUCGUAAAACUCUGUUAUUAGGGAAGAACAAAUGUGUAAGUAACUAUGCACGUCUUGACGGUACCUAAUCAGAAAGCCACGGCUAACUACGUG
rnacentral:rRNA from 1 species